UAUCUCUGUAGAGUCUGCAUAUCAAUAAGCGGAGGAAAAGAAACUAACAAGGAUUCCCCUAGUAACGGCGAGUGAAGCGGGAAGAGCUCAAAUUUGAAAUCUUCAAGGUUUGACCUUGACGAAUUGUAGUUUAAAGAAGUGUUUUCGGUUAGAGGAGUGGUAAAAGUUCUUUGGAAUAGGACAUCAUAGAGGGUGAGAAUCCCGUAUUUGACCAUUCUUUCUAGCUUUGCGAUACACUUUCAAAGAGUCGGAUUGUUUGGGAAUGCAGUCCAAAAUGGGUGGUAAAUUUCAUCUAAAGCUAAAUAUUGGCGAGAGACCGAUAGCGAACAAGUACCGUGAGGGAAAGGUGAAAAGAACUUUGAAAAGAGAGUUAAACAGUACGUGAAAUUGUCAAAAGGGAAGCGUUUGACACCAGUGUUGUUUUUCCGAAAAUCAAUUAAAAAAUGGAUUCAUGCUAAGUUGUAUUGACCUUAUCAGCUUGCAAUUUAGUUUUGGGUUUCUUUUUUGAUGCACUUUUCGGUUAACAAGUCAACAUCAAUUUCCUUUGCUGUAAAAAGGCAGGAGGAAGGUGGCUUCAAUUUCGGUUGAAGUGUUUAUAGCCUUCUGUCUCUGCAGUCGGGGAGAUUGAGGUCUGCAGCGUAGAUCCUUCGGGGCUAGAUACAUUUGUGCUAAGUUAUAGCCUUUCAUAGACAACUUGUUGACUAUGAUCAGUCAUGUAGCUUACUCGCUUAUGCUAUUUUACCUACGCUUAGGAUGUUGAUCUACAGAGCGAGAGU
rnacentral:rRNA from 1 species